GACGAACGCUGGCGGCGUGCUUAACACAUGCAAGUCGAACGGAAAGGCCCUGCUUUUGUGGGGUGCUCGAGUGGCGAAAGGGUGAGUAACACGUGAGUAACCUGCCCUUGACUUUGGGAUAACUUCAGGAAACUGGGGCUAAUACCGGAUAGGAGCUCCUGCUGCAUGGUGGGGGUUGGAAAGUUUCGGCGGUUGGGGAUGGACUCGCGGCUUAUCAGCUUGUUGGUGGGGUAGUGGCUUACCAAGGCUUUGACGGGUAGCCGGCCUGAGAGGGUGACCGGCCACAUUGGGACGGAGAUACGGCCCAGACGCCUACGGGAGGCAGCAGUGGGGAAUAUUGCACAAUGGGCGGAAGCCUGAUGCAGCAACGCCGCGUGCGGGAUGACGGCCUUCGGGUUGUAAACCGCUUUCGCCUGUGACGAAGCGUGAGUGACGGUAAUGGGUAAAGAAGCACCGGCUAACUACGUG
rnacentral:rRNA from 1 species